GAUGAACGCUGGCGGCGUGCCUAAUACAUGCAAGUCGAACGAAACUUCUUUAUCACCGCUUGCUUGCACUCACCGAUAAAGAGUUGAGUGGCGAACGGGUGAGUAACACGUGGGCAACCUGCCCAAAAGAGGGGGAUAACACUUGGAAACAGGUGCUAAUACCGCAUAACCAUAGUUACCGCAUGGUAACUAUGUAAAAGGUGGCUAUACUACCGCUUUUGGAUGGGCCCGGGGCGGAUUAGCUAGUUGGUAGGGUAAAGGCUUACCAAGGCAAUGAUGCGUAGCCGAAUUGAGAGGUUGAUCGGCCACACUGGGACUGAGACACGGCCCAAACUCCUACGGGAGGCAGCAGUAGGGAAUCUUGGACAAUGGGCGAAAGCCUGAUGGAGCAACGCCGCGUGGGUGAAGAAGGUCUUCGGAUCGUAAAACCCUGUUGUUCGAGAAGAAAGUGCGUGGGAGUAAAUGUUCACGUUUUGACGGUAGCUAAACGGAAAGCCACGGCUAACUACGUG
rnacentral:rRNA from 1 species